CCGCUUCUCCUGAAAAUGCGGGGGCAAGGGAGUUAGCCGACAGCCAGGCAAAUCCGGCUGUCGAAAGGCAAAGGCGUGAGGCGUAUGGAAAGCUGCGGCAAGUACAGAAGUCCGUGAAGCCAGCUUCCAAGAAAAGCUUCUAGUGAUAAUCAUACAGUAACCCGUACCGAAAAUGGACACACAUGGGUGAGGAGAGAAUCCUAAGGUGAGCGAGAGAACUAUAGCUAAGGAACUCUGCAAAAUGACUCCGUAACUUAGGGAUAAGGAGUGCUCAUAGAGAUAUGAGCCGCAGUGAAACGGCCCAAGCGACUGUUUACCAAAAACACAGCUCUAUGCUAAGUCGAAAGACGACGUAUAUGGGGUGACGCCUGCCCGGUGCUGGAAGGUUAAGAGGAUGUGUCAGCGCAAGCGAAGCAUUGAAUUGAAGCCCCAGUAAACGGCGGCCGUAACUAUAACGGUCCUAAGGUAGCGAAAUUCCUUGUCAGGUAAGUUCUGACCCGCACGAAAGGCGUAACGAUUUGGGCGCUGUCUCAGCUGUAGACUCGGUGAAGUCUUAGUACCUGUGAAGAUGCAGGUUACCCGCGACUAGACGGAAAGACCCCAUGGAGCUUUACUGUAGCUUGAUAUUGGACUUUGAUGCAAGAUGUACAGGAUAGGUAGGAGACUGAGAGACAUGCACGCCAGUGUGUGAGGAGUCAAUGUUGGGAUACUACUCUUCUUGUAUUGGAGUUCUAACCGGAUGCCAUGGAACUGGCAACGGGACAGUGUCAGGUGGGCAGUUUGACUGGGGCGGUCGCCUCCCAAAGAGUAACGGAGGCGCCCAAAGAUACCCUCAGCUUGGAUGGAAAUCAAGCGCAGAGUGCAAAGGCAUAAGGGUGUUUGACUGCGAGACCUACAAGUCGAGCAGGGACGAAAGUCGGGCUUAGUGAUCCGGCGGUGCUGAAUGGAAAGGCCGUCGCUCAACGGAUAAAAGCUACCCUGGGGAUAACAGGCUGAUCUCCCCCAAGAGUUCACAUCGACGGGGAGGUUUGGCACCUCGAUGUCGGCUCAUCGCAUCCUGGAGCUGAAGUCGGUUCCAAGGGUUGGGCUGUUCGCCCAUUAAAGCGGUACGCGAGCUGGGUUCAGAACGUCGUGAGACAGUUCGGUCCCUAUCUGUCGUGGGCGUAGGAAGUUUGAGAAGAUCUGUCCUCAGUACGAGAGGACCGGGAUGGACAUAUCAAUGGUGCACCAGUUGUCACGCCAGUGGCACAGCUGGGUAGCUAAAUAUGGAAGGGAUAAACGCUGAAGGCAUCUAAGUGUGAAACCCACUUCAAGAUGAGACUUCCCAUUACGCAAGUAAGUAAGACCCCUUAAAGACGAUAAGGUUGAUAGGUCAGGAGUGUAAGCAUGGCGACAUGUUCAGCGGACUGAUACUAAUAGGUCGAGGACUUAACCU
rnacentral:rRNA from 1 species